rnacentral:rRNA from 1 species
UGCUUGUCUCAAAGAUUAAGCCAUGCAUGUCUAAGCAUAAGCUGGUAACAGUGAAGCCGCGAAUAGCUCAUUACAACAGCCGUUGUUUCUUGGAUCUACUCUCUACUUGGAUAACUGUGGUAAUUCUAGAGCUAAUACAUGCAUCAAGACCGAACGUAAGAACGGUCGCAUUUAUUAGAACAAAACCAUCCGGUCUCUGGCCGUUCUUUGGUGACUCUGAAUAACUGAGCAAAUCACAUGGUCUCGCACCGGUGAUGUAUCUUUCAAGUGUCUGCCUUAUCAACUUUCGAUGGUAGUUUAUGCGCCUACCAUGGUUGUAACGGGUAACGGAGAAUCAGGGUUUGACUCCGGAGAGGGAGCCUGAGAAACGGCUACCACUUCCRAGGAAGGCAGCAGGCA